CCAUCUUCCCUCCUCGACCUCUUAUACGGUGGUGAUCUCCUCGGUGGCGGGGAAUGCCUCCUGUCCCUGUAUGGCAAGGGAGGAGGACUCAAACUGUUCCUCCUCUUGCAAUCUCUCUCCCUCUCUCUAGGUGGGGGAGACCGAUUCCUAUCGUAAUAAUCACCGCCCCGUCGAUUCGGCGGCCUAUCGAGGUCCCUAUCUCGGGAGUCUCUGUCGCGCCGUCGAGAGGUGUUCUGCGUAGGGGGAGGAGGUGGUUGUGGCGGAGAGGACGAUUGAGGGUCGUCGGCGGAGGACUUCUCCUUGCGUUCACGGCUGCGGCGAUCCAGAGAAUCGACAGGCAUGUUUAUGACCUCGGCCAUGAUGGGAAUUGUUUGGUUAGGUUGAAUUGGGGAAGAUUUUGGUGAAACCCUAGAAAAGAGGAAAGAAAAUGAAAACAAGGAUGAGAACGAUGAUGAGUUCGUCAGUCUGCUCAGUUUUACAAGCUCAGAAAC
rnacentral:misc_RNA from 1 species